GAGACCAUGGAGCAGUUUGACGAGGAGGAGGAGCAUCUCACUGACGAGAGUAACUUUGAACACAUGGUGCAGCGUCUGGCUAGAGUAGGAGGAAGGGACCCAAAAGAGUGCGUCCGAAAAGUCCUUGACAGGCUGUUCUCGAACACCCUAAUGGCGCAAUUUAAUAUGAUGGGCAAGGGCCACAAGGACAAAAGAGCUUUAAGGGGCACAAGAAUCUUCAAGGCAAUACAAGAAGGAGUUAUGAGGUUUGAUAAGGCGGCAACAGAAGACCUCAUCAAGCAAACCAUCGCUGACCACCUGAAGCAUGCGCCACAGAGACGUCCGA